AUGGGCUGUUCAGCCUCUCCCAUUCUCUCAGUCCCAGGCUACAACCCCAACCUCCAAACACCUACCUCUGGAACCCUGACCUCGCCGCCGCCCGUCCGCUCGCACCACCGACGCCGGCGAUCCCCACGCCGCCCUGAUCUAGCAUUGUCGACCUCAGCGAUGGCGUCGCCGUCGUCGGACUCGGACAAGCGGGGCGAGCUGCGGCCCCCGGAACACAUCGCCGGCGAGCUGCCCCGCGACGCGCUCUACGACAUCCUGCUGCGUCUCCCGGCGAAGGAUGUAUGCCGCCUCCGCGCCGUCAGCCCCUCGUGGCGCUCUCUCACCUUGGACCCGCUCUUCGUCAAGGCCCACGCGGCCCGCCACCCGGGCCCGCUCCUCGCCACCACCUUCGCCGACGGCGAGUCCCGCGGCGUCAGCAUCGUGGAUCUGCUCUCCGGCAACGUCAUCAAGCGGAUACGCACCUCCGACCCCGACCUGAGAGUGCAGCGCACGCGCCUCGACCGUGUCUGCCUCGUCGGAGGGCGCCACCCUCUGGGCGUGCCUGUCACCCUGCUCGACCCGGCCACGGGUGCUGUCAUCAGCUCGUCGCAAGUCAUCUCCAUGAAGUAUGCUGGUUUGCUGAAGACCAGAAAGGCAUCCAUGGACUCGUGCAUUUUUGGGAAAGUCCCCUCCACAGGAGUGUACAAGGCGUUCCGCUUCCUUGAAAUUCGCCCUCUGGUUAGUCCGCAGCAGCUCUGCGAGGUCAUGACUCUCAACGGCCGCAGCCCUGGACGGUGGAGGGCAAGACCAGGACCUCCGGGCCGUGUCUUUUCCGAUCACACGAUGAAAAGCGCGGCCAUCGAUGGGGUCGUGUAUUUCUUGAUGGAUUUUUCAAACAUGUAUCAGUCGAAGGUGACCAUCAAACCAGCCAGCAUAGCUGCAUUCAACCUGGAGACAGAAGUAUGGAUGCCGCCGAUUGAUGGUCCGGAACAAGUCAGCAGCUUAUAUGACGAAGAAGAUGUGCUUCCUGUCUUCGAGGACCCCAGAGCUGUGGGGAUUCUCUCCAUAACCAAUUUGAAUGGGUCCUUAGUGGUGGCGCAGGUUCAUCAUAGUUCACCUCAAUCGAUGGACCUAUGGUUUCUGAUGGAUCGUGAGAAAGGUGUCUGGGUUAAAAAGUACAGCACAGGUUAUUACCGACGUGAGGAUCAUUUUAGUUAUCCUUUGCUGGUGUUAGAUGACGAGAGGAUUGUCUUUGUGAUGCAACUAACGGGGCUGCUACAGGUUUAUGAUCCAAAAACAGAAACUUACACAGAUUUGUGGCAGCUGGAAGAUUUCCAGUCUAUGUGUAUUUACACAGGAAAUCUGCUGAGUCAAGAGGCUGGUUUUCACCGCUGAGGCUAACAGAAUGUGACAUACUAAUAAAGAGUGCAGCAGUUUCACCAGGCGCUAAGGAUGGUGUGUUUUAGACCCGACGAAUGGCCAAGCAUUCUACAACGUGCAUCAUCCAAAGAGGCGCCACUCUUUUUCCUGAUGACGAUGUCGCGUGCUGCUAAUUUGUCGAUGAAGCCAGUUUGCUCAGUUGAAUUGUGCGAGCCUUCUCGUGAAUCUUUUUACCGUCUGUAGAAUCUACUUUGCUAGUAUGUUUCGCUUGCAUGUGUGGAUGGACCAUGCGUGACAAUGUCCUGGAGGACUCUUAAUCAUGUAUGCAUCGGAUUGUCAUCUAUCCUUUGUCUUUUUGUGAAAGCAGGACUGACAGUUUGGCUUUGUGACUCUAAUUUCAAAA